UCCCCUGACCUCGUUGCUCUCUCACAGUGGAAGGUGACAAGGCUGCGGCCUGCUCACUGCCUAGGAGUGCGGCGCCACAGUGAAAGAGCCCAGGGUCAGAGCUCCACUCCAGCAGCCCCUACAGCCAGGAGCCAGGAGUCACAGGAGCUAGCCUCAGUGGGCCACACCCUGGGUGUCCUUUGCCCUCUGGGUCUAUCCCAGCUUGCACGAUGAGGAAGCAGGGCUUUAUUGGGGAUGAUGUCAUGGGGACAGCCUGAGCCACUCUGUAAAAGCCAGGGCGCAGCAGAGUCAGUCCAGUGUGGCCUCCAGUCCCACUCUGGAUACACAGGCUGGAAAAGGUGCCACAGGCUGAUUCCAAGGACGCUGUGCCCACAGCCAGAUGUGGGUCGAGGCAGAGAUGCAUGUCACCAGCACCAGGCCCUGCAUGCUGAGAAUAUCAGACACAGGGACAGGGACAUUUGAAGGGUAAGACAAAAGCAAGGCUGAGAGGGGACAGUGUUGGCCCAGCCCUCACCACUUCUGGGAUCUGAGGCGAGUGCCUCCGAACUCAUAAACAAACAGUUCCAAGCAGAAAACAGGCUGCAGCAUCCAGGUGUCCCAAGGCCACCCAUGGGGAAGGAACAUGGUCUCAUGCACGGACAUCUCAACCCACAGGACUCAACAAAGCAGGUAGAGAAACCGGGGAGCCUUAAGGUCAGCCCGCCUCCGCACCCCUUAGGACAAGACUGUGAACACUCUCCUGAGCUCUGUGUUCAUGCCCUCUGAGUCUCAGGGUGACAGCCCAAGCCUGCCUCUCACUCACUCACUCACCUGUCCCUCACCGCCAGCAGCCUGGACAGUGACCCGACCUCCCUGAGCAUCCUGGUUUUGGCACCCUCAAGGCCACUUCCCGAUUCUAUGCAGCUGCUCUGAGAAGCAAAGGGUAGACUGAGGGUCCCUGCCCCCUUUAUAAACUGUAGAGCGCUGCCCUUCAGUGGCUUCUAUAAUCCUUUCUUGUCUACAUGUCAUCUCUCUUUCCUAGCACCGUCCCCCACCCCCCAGGUUAGGACCGAGGGCCUCGUGGUGCCCUCCUAGAGCCCCUCACACCUCUCUGCCCGCUCCUUUCAAACCCUGCACCGGUGUGGAUAAGUGUGCCCCCCUGAGCCUGCCUUAGUGCACAGGGUUUGCCUCCCUUGGCCCUCUGCAUCCUGGGAGCCAGCCAUCCGUCUGUUGGUCCCAUCCAUCCUGCAUAGAGGGCAUGGAGGCUCACAGCGGCUACCUUGACUCGCUCAAGACAACCGCACGAGAAACUGAGACCGUGUCGCCAUGACUCUGAGGAAUCGGAGAAUCUGCCUGGGUGUCUCCAGCUCUCUGGCCGCUGUGGUCCCCAGUUCAUUCAUGCCCACCCGCUCCCAGUUUAGACAGCUUCCCAGAUGUAUGCAAUAUUCAUGUUUCCACCCGCAACAGCUCAACACCUCCCCUCCAAGGCCUUCGGGAGCCCCAUUAAUCAUUCAGACACACCUGCAUAUUCAUUAACUUCUGAAUUAAUACAGGGUCCUUUAUUACCUCAGGCCUGCUGCCUGCAUUAGAGACACUUGGACUUCAUUCAUUAUUAAACUCCCCUGAUAAAUGAUCGCAUCUCUUCUUCACAAGGGAGGGGGGCACAGCACCCAGACCUGUGAGCCAACAGGUCUGAUCCCAGCACCAGCGGCUGUGUGACCUUGAACAAAACCCUUACCCUCUCUGGGCUUCCCACAUGUUGAACUGGUAAAAAUCAGACAGAGGUCAGUCACCGCUGGCCAACUUUGUCAAGGUGGUCCCAUCCCACCCUUCGUGCCUGCUCUGUCAGUUUCCUGGACUCACUCAUUCCUUGCUCUCCAGAAGUGAAGUGAACCCGAAGACCACGCAGGGUGGGCUCUGUCACAUAACAGUGGUGGGGGAUUAUAGCAGCCCCCAGCAUCUCCUGAGCCCACCCCCACCCCAGGUCUUGAGCUAAGCCCAGCACCUUCCCUCAAAGCAUACCCUGCUUUCAGUAUGGAGAGGAAGACAUGGGGUGUCUGAGGCCAGUGAGGUCAAGCUUGUCUCCCCAGAAAGGCUAGGGCUGGCUCUGAGCUCAGGUACCCACAUACCAUCUGGUCCAGGCCGGCACCAUCCAAUGUCUCCCUCCCUAGCGGAUCCUUCCAUAUCUAUGCUUGCCUGAUAGAGCCACAUAUCCCUGGCCUCCUCAGCAGACAGCACAUCGGUCUCCAUUAUGGCUGGCACCUAGAGGGCCCUCGAAGGAAGUGUGACAGUGCCUUGGUCUGUAUCCCCGCCCUGGACCCCCCACCCCACUGGCUGUAACCCUGCCUUCCACCUCCAAUGAGAUCCUCGGGCAGCUCUAAGCUAAGUGCCACUAACGUCAGCAGGUCUAGCUGCCUCCCUACCCAACUGAGAUGCAGGCCUGAAGCUUUGCUCUCACCCUCUGGUUGUAUCACUGUGGGCUCCUUACCAAGCCCAUGGGUGCCUCUGCUCCAUCAUUUUCCUCAUGCCCGACUUUUGCCUCUCCCUCAUCCCCUAUCUCCCAUCCCCCAUCCUCCACCCCCCAUCCCCCAUCCCUCAUUCCUCAUCUACAUUCUAUCAUAACACCUGCCCAGGUCUCACACCUGCUGCCUCUCUGCCCAAACCAGCAGCAGCUCUUAUGCAGCCAACAAGCAGGACUUCCAGCAUCCUUGCCUCCUCCCAUCCCUCUGCUUGGCUGCCCAAGGGUCACGCAUCGGGGCCUCCUCCUCAGAGCCAGUCAGGAGCUGCCUUGGGGUCCCAGGUUGAAGCUGGGAGAUGUCUUGAAGGUCACAGUCUCUCCCCCCCCCCUGGACCUGGCUGUCCCUCCGCUUCCCAGGAUGACUCUGCCCACCUUGUCUGAGUGUAGGUUCCUCCCAGGCCUGUGGCGUCAUGGUCACACGGCAAGCAGCCCCAGCCCACAACCCCCGUGACAGACAACUGUGUACCUGAUACCCCAUAAAGAAGCUUCCUAUGGAGUCCCCAUGGCCAACACUGGGCCACACACCACCAACAGGGCCCCGGCUUAACCAGACCACUUCUCAGAUGAAAUCAACACCCAGAAAGACAGACCAGCUUGGCCAGGUGUCAAGACCCAUGGGCUGAGAACCAUCAUGCCAGGUGCUAGCACCUCCGCAUCUACUUGCUAGCUCCCACUAUAGGCCAGCCAAGUGUUCUGGAGGCUCAGCUGCCUCUGCUCAUCAAGUGCCCCCAUGGGUCAGGGCCACUGUCACCUGCCUAUGGCUCAGCUUUACCUACAGCUCUGCCUCUCCUGCCAGUUUUCCCUCUAGAAGGCCAGGGCAGCAUGGAUCCCAGUGUGAAGCCAACACAGAGAAGGAACAAAGCAGGAGGCAUAGGACCAUGUGACCUUCCUGCAGGUCGCCACCAUCAGUCCACCCCUGACACCCAGCAGGCUCCAGGUGGUUACUAUCACAACUGUAGGGACUUGACCAAUAUGCUGAUCACACGCCAUCCCAUCUUGAACCUGCCCAGGACAGUCAGGCCAGGCAAGUGCCAAGGUAGAAGAAAGGAUACAGACAGAGCUUCUGAGAUGAGCCUAGUCCGCAUGUGCAGCCGACACAGCUGGCCUCUUAUCCAGAUACGUGGGGCCCACUUAAACAUGGGCAAACAGUCUCUGAAGGCCAGCGGCCGGCCUGGAGCUGACCCUUGCCUGCACCUGCAUCUGCUUCGGAGAGAGACGAAGGAGCAUCGGAGCACAAGAGAGAAGAACAUCCAAAGACAGCAGCCAACUCAACCUGGGAGCCUUGGGAGCCUUGGGAGCCCAGGAAGUGCAGCAGGCAGGCACCCGCAACCUGGACCCACAUCCUUGCCCUAAAGCCUCCAGCUGUGUGACCUUGGGCAGCCUGUGCAGCUUCUCGGAGCCAACUUCCUCAUGGGUCUCCAGGGAUACAAUGUUAGAUGAAAUCAGAGCAGCGAGGGCCGCGGAGCACCUUGUGAAUCAGGCCCUUUCAGGGUCCCCUUCACAAAAGCCUGCUCAGAGCCCUGCCGCCCUAACUAGGGCACUAGACCUGUUAGCCAUGCAAUGCCACGCGUGGUGACCUCAAACCGUGCACAAUGCCCCCACUCUACAGGUCCCCUCUGGCUCUGCCCUUCCCUCUCACCCUUCAAAAGCAGCUGGGAUGCUGGGCUCCUAGCCCAGCUGUUUCUGCCUGUGAGCCAGUACAGCCAGCAGCAGCUCCAGCCACUUUACCGCAGCCUCCCUUCCACCAGAGAGCAAGCCCUCCGUCCUUCCUGGACCCUAUCCAGGCACCCUUCCCUCCCUGUAUACCACCAGCCAACGCAGAUGCGGCAGCUCCCCACCACCAGCCUCCAACAGGGAAACCCCCUCCAGCUGCAGCCUCAGGCUAUGGUCUCUGCAGCCACCUAAGGGCCAUCCUAGAUUUCAGAGUCACCUGGUGCCUCCCAGGCUCCCUGGGAAUCUGACAGGCCCCUGUGGCCGGAACCUGGAAGAACUACAUACUCUUAAGCACAAACUACUCCUGCACAAAGAGGCACAUACACACACACACAUACGCACACAUAUACAUACACAUACGCUAGGCACAUGCAUGUGCACAGCAUGUGAGCACACGCCACACAUGCACAUCUGCAUACCUGUGCUUAUGUGCUCCAUAUGUGUGUACACAUACCACUAUACAUAUACAUGCAAUCUAGU